CCACAGAGGAGGGGGAGAUGAUGGGACAGUCCCUCUGAAGCUCACAGCAAGCAGAAAGGACCAGACUGUGACGGAGCAGCCCCUUGGAGUGGUAGAGUGGAUGGAAUGAGGAGAGACAGGGUGAGAGAAGCAUCAAUGUGAGAGAGACACAUCAAUUGGUGAUCAAGCCUGCAACCAAGGAGGAAGUGCCUUUACAAUGGAGGAAUCUGGCAACCACCAUCUGAACUCAGUCUUCAACCAUAAGAUCACUAAUGAUGGGACAACCUGCUAUUGACGUCCCCUCCUGAUAAGAUGUUAGGUGAAGUGCAACAACACCUUUGAAAUCUAUCUUACCGGGAAAGUCAAACGGAAUCUAAUCAAGCUAUAGAUCAGACUUUCAGUUUACAGGAAAUGAAAUGCAAAAAUAGAGGAAGAAGUUCAAUAAUAUGAAGAAAUAUGGAGACAAAUCCUA